rnacentral:rRNA from 1 species
AUGAGCGCGGCUGGCAUGGUGAUGCGGCGCCGCAUCAUGUACUCCAUGGCGCGCACGGCGGCGUCCGGGUCAACCUCGAAGAGCUUCGCCACGACGCGCGUGUAGGCCGCCUCGUGCCGCUUCUCGUCGGAGGCGAUGGCACCGCAGAUGCGCGCGAGCGCGGCGUCGCCGUGCGCGCGCACCUGGCGCGCCGUGUUGCCGUGGGAGAUGGAGGUGGCGCGCUCCUGGAAGGCCACGUAG